UACUCGAGUGGCGAACGGGUGAGUAACACGUGGGUGAUCUGCCCUGCACUUCGGGAUAAGCUUGGGAAACUGGGUCUAAUACCGGAUAGGAGCCAUUUUUAGUGUGAUGGUUGGAAAGUUUUUUCGGUGUAGGAUGAGCUCGCGGCCUAUCAGCUUGUUGGUGGGGUAAUGGCCUACCAAGGCGGCGACGGGUAGCCGGCCUGAGAGGGUGGACGGCCACAUUGGGACUGAGAUACGGCCCAG
rnacentral:rRNA from 1 species